GCCUCUGUGGCGGAAUUGGUAGACGCGCCGGAUUCAAAAUCCGGUUCUGGCAACAGAGUGGGAGUUCGAUUCUCCCCGGAGGCACCA
rnacentral:tRNA from 1 species